rnacentral:misc_RNA from 1 species
GAUGAAGAACGUAGCGAAAUGCGAUAAGUAAUGUGAAUUGCAGAAUUCAGUGAAUCAUCGAAUCUUUGAACGCACAUUGCGCCCCCUGGUAUUCCGGGGGGCAUGCCUGUCCGAGCGUCAUUACAACCCUCAAGCUCAGCUUGGUGUUGGGCCCCGCCGCCCCGGCGGGCCCUAAAGUCAGUGGCGGUGCCGUCCGGCUCCGAGCGUAGUAAUUCUUCUCGCUAUGGAGUCCUGGUGGAUGCUUGCCAUCAACCCCCAAUUUUUCUAUGGUUGACCUCGGAUCAGGUAGGGAUACCCGCUGAACUUAAGCAUAUCAAUAAGCGGAGGA